rnacentral:tRNA from 2 species
GGGGGAGUAGCUCAGCGGGAGAGCGCGUGCUUCGCAUGCACGAGGCCCCGGGUUCGAGCCCCGGCUCCUCCA